AUGAAUCCCGUGUGUACUUUACUUGGUUUCCCAACAGGAGACAUGACUAUUGUGCUGCUAUAUGAAGCACCCGUUGGCAUUGCAAUUUUCUCUUUUGAGGGGGACUACCUCAAUGAUCCAGCAAAGGUUCUUAUGAGUCUGAAAGAAUUCGUACGAAAUGAGACGGUGCCCUCCCCAGUUGACAUAGCUAAUAAUGCUAUUGACGAUCACCUGGCCAAGAGGCUCACCGACUUGUGUGGUUAUGAGAAGAAAUUAGUUGUAGGGUGUACUGAAUGUAAAGUAAUAAUUGAAAAGAACCUGGGAAUAACAUGUCUGCAUGUUGACGUUCCGGAUUGUGAGAUGAGAAUUUGCACUCAGAAGAAGCCCAUGCAUACUUUAUCGCCUAAAAGACUAUCAGAUCCUACUGAAGAUUCAACGAUAUUCUUACAUCAACAUGACAUUACUUGCAAGCUCGAGACGGUUAACGACUAUUGUUAA
rnacentral:rRNA from 1 species